rnacentral:rRNA from 1 species
ACAAGCGGAUCUCUUAAAGACUGUUCUCAGUUCGGACUGCAGUCUGCAACUCGACUGCACGAAGCUGGAAUCGCUAGUAAUCGCGGAUCAGCACGCCGCGGUGAAUACGUUCCCGGGCCUUGUACACACCGCCCGUCACACCAUGGAAGUCUGCAAUGCCCGAAGCCGGUGGCCUAACCACUUAUGUGGAAGGAGCCGUCUAAGGCAGGGCAGAUGACUGGGGUGAAGUCGUAACAAGGUAUC